rnacentral:rRNA from 1 species
AUCCCUACGGGGGGCAGCAGUGGGGAAUAUUGCACAAUGGGGGAAACCCUGAUGCAGCGACGCCGCGUGAGUGAAGAAGUAUUUCGGUAUGUAAAGCUCUAUCAGCAGGGAAGAUAAUGACGGUACCUGAGUAAGAAGCCACGGCUAACUACGUGCCAGCAGCCGCGGUAAUACGUAGGUGGCAAGCGUUAUCCGGAUUUACUGGGUGUAAAGGGCGUGUAGGCGGGGAAGCAAG